AAGAAGGCCUUCGGGUUGUAAAGCUCUUUUGUCAGAGAAGAAACGGUAGAGGCUAAUAUCCUUUGCUAAUGACGGUACCUGAAGAAUAAGCACCGGCUAACUACGUGCCAGCAGCCGCGGUAAUACGUAGGGUGCAAGCGUUAAUCGGAAUUACUGGGCGUAAAGCGUGCGCAGGCGGUUUUGUAGUCUGUCGUGAAAGCCCCGGGCUCAACCUGGGAAUUGCGAUGGAGACUGCAAGGCUUGAAUCUGGCGGAGGGGGGUAGAAUUCCACGUGUAGCAGUGAAAUGCGUAGAGAUGUGGAGGAACACCGAUGGCGAAGGCAGCCCCCUGGGUCAAGAUUGACGCUCAUGCACGAAAGCGUGGGGAGCAAACAGGAUUAGAUACCCUGGUAGUCCACGCCCUAAACGAUGUCUACUAGUUGUCGGGUUCUAAUUAACUUGGUAACGCAGCUAACGCGUGAAGUAGACCGCCUGGGGAGUACGGUCGCAAGGUUAAAACUCAAAGGAAUUGACGG
rnacentral:rRNA from 1 species